AGUGAACGCUGGCGGUAGGCCUAACACAUGCAAGUCGAACGGCAGCACAGUAAGAGCUUGCUCUUACGGGUGGCGAGUGGCGGACGGGUGAGGAAUACAUCGGAAUCUACUUUUUCGUGGGGGAUAACGUAGGGAAACUUACGCUAAUACCGCAUACGACCUACGGGUGAAAGCAGGGGAUCUUCGGACCUUGCGCGAUUGAAUGAGCCGAUGUCGGAUUAGCUAGUUGGCGGGGUAAAGGCCCACCAAGGCGACGAUCCGUAGCUAGUCUGAGAGGAUGAUCAGCCACACUGGAACUGAGACACGGUCCAGACUCUUACGGGAGGCAGCAGUGGGGAAUAUUGGACAAUGGGCGCAAGCCUGAUCCAGCCAUACCGCGUGGGUGAAGAAGGCCUUCGGGUUGUAAAGCCCUUUUGUUGGGAAAGAAAAGCAGCAGGUUAAUACCCCGCUGUUCUGACGGUACCCAAAGAAUAAGCACCGGCUAACUUCGUG
rnacentral:rRNA from 1 species